rnacentral:sRNA from 15 species
UCAAGACAAAUGAAAGUAGGCUCUGAUAUUUAAAGGUAUCCAGAGCUAUGAAAUUCUCAGGGCCAAGAAACAGACAACCACUCUCUAGUUCUACUCAAUUUUCAAUUGAAAAUAACUAGAACCCCUCUCGAGACGAAAUGAAAGGAGAAGCCUAACCACGAGACUCCUGAUUCUGUUCCUUUAUAUCGCACCCCCCUUGGAUGCUAUUCACUUCAGUUCAGUUCUGGUUUGCUAUUUUCGACCAAUUUCCGCACAGCUUCAGGUCGGGCUGCUGUUUGUUUAACACCUCGUUCAAGGAUAGCGCGAACCAGAAAGAUGAUUUUUUACAGCAGACACUUAAAAAACACAGCGGAGCCAAGACAAAGUCAAAGUCAAGAAACCUGUUACAAUGGCUUGCAUAACGGAUCGCCACCAGAGCUGAGAAGAGCAGAGAAGAGCUGUAGGGAAAACCCCUUGCGGAGAACGCGGCAGCAUCCAGGCCAUUGUCACCGAUGCUGUUCGUAUAAUAAAAACUCUCUCGAGUGCUUGAAAGCCAGGCGGGAGGGAGACUCGGAACAGUUUGAAGUGGCCGCGAGAGUCCACCGUCUCCGACUGUGUCACCUAAAUGCGUUCCAGGAACGAGAGUGCCUCUCAAGACCAUUCAAUAAAUGAUUCUGGUCAAUGGCAGGGAGUGGCCACAAACGAAAUCCCAUUGAGAGAGAUGACCCGACAAUGAUAAAACCCGACUAUGCCCGGAAUGUGGUUGUGCCCUCGGCUAUUUAUGGAUUCAUUGGCUGGUUAUAUGGAGGACCAAGGAGGAUAUGGAUGAGUUAUAGCUUUGGGGAGUCGAAACUGGGUAACGG